GAUGAACGCUGGCGGCGUGCCUAAUACAUGCAAGUCGAGCGAACGGACGAGAAGCUUGCUUCUCUGAUGUUAGCGGCGGACGGGUGAGUAACACGUGGAUAACCUACCUAUAAGACUGGGAUAACUUCGGGAAACCGGAGCUAAUACCGGAUAAUAUUUUGAACCGCAUGGUUCAAAAGUGAAAGACGGUCUUGCUGUCACUUAUAGAUGGAUCCGCGCUGCAUUAGCUAGUUGGUAAGGUAACGGCUUACCAAGGCAACGAUGCAUAGCCGACCUGAGAGGGUGAUCGGCCACACUGGAACUGAGACACGGUCCAGACUCCUACGGGAGGCAGCAGUAGGGAAUCUUCCGCAAUGGGCGAAAGCCUGACGGAGCAACGCUGCGUGAGUGAUGAAGGUCUUCGGAUCGUAAAACUCUGUUAUUAGGGAAGAACAUAUGUGUAAGUAACUGUGCACAUCUUGACGGUACCUAAUCAGAAAGCCCCGGCUAACUACGUG
rnacentral:rRNA from 1 species